AUGAACGCCACCACGAUCAUGGAUGUCAUCGAGGUACCUCUGUUUCCUCAGUCCUACUCCUACCAGGAAAGUUUUCAGAUAGUUACUGCUAAGAACUUCUAUGCAGUUCUCUUGGGCAAUAAAACUGCAGUCACUGGAGGGAGCAAACCAAAUGACCAUAUAUUUAUCUACUACUCAGAUCACGGGGGUCCUGGAGUCCUUGGUAUGCCCAACCUGCCAUAUCCCUAUGCUGUGGAUUUUAUCAAGGUCUUACAAGAAAAACAUGCAUCCAACCCCUACGCAAAAAUGGUUAUAUAUGUGGAAGCUUGUGAAAGUGGCAGUAUUUUUGAGGGUUUGAUGCCUGCAGACCUCAAUAUUUAUGUCACAACAACAUCUAAUGAAGAAGAAAGCAGCUGGGGUACAUACUGCCCAGGAAUGGAACCAUCGCCUCCUUUUGAGUAUAUUACCUGCUUAGGUGAUCUCUACAGUAUUUCUUGGAUGGAAGACAUGUAUGUAACUCGUAACCUAAAUUCACAAUGA
rnacentral:rRNA from 1 species